AGCAGCCGCGGUAAUUCCAGCUCCAAUAGCGUAUAUUAAAGUUGUUGCAGUUAAAAAGCUCGUAGUUGAAUUUCGGAAUCUGUCCAUCGGUCGGGCUUCACUGUCCGUACUGGUGUGGUGGGUUCUUACCUUCUGAAUAACCAGCAUGCCAUUUAUUUGGUGCGCUGGGGAAGCAGGACUAUUACCUUGAAAAAAUUAGAGUGCUCAAAGCAGGCUAGUGCCUGAAUACAUUAGCAUGGAAUAAUAAAAUAGGACGGCAUGGUUCUAUUUUGUUGGUUUCUAGGAUCACCGUAAUGAUUAAUAGAGAUAGUUGGGGGCAUUAGUAUUCAAUUGUCAGAGGUGAAAUUCUUGGAUUUAUUGAAGACUAACUACUGCGAAAGCAUUUGCCAAGGAUGUUUUCAUUAAUCAAGAACGAAAGUUAGGGGAUCGAAGACGAUCAGAUACCGUCGUAGUCUUAACCAUAAACUAUGCCGACUAGGGAUCGGAUGAUGUUAAUUUUUAAUGACUCAUUC
rnacentral:rRNA from 1 species